rnacentral:rRNA from 1 species
GUCCACGCCGUAAACGAUGGAUACUAGGUGUGGGCCCGAUAGGGUUCCGUGCCGAAGCAAACGCAUUAAGUAUCCCGCCUGGGGAGUACGAUCGCAAGGUUGAAACUCAAAGGAAUUGACGGGGCCCGCACAAGCAGCGGAGCAUGUGGUUUAAUUCGAAGCAACGCGAAGAACCUUACCAAGGCUUGACAUCCUCUGACGACUGUAGAGAUACAGUUUCCCUUCGGGGCAGAGAGACAGGUGGUGCAUGGUUGUCGU